rnacentral:rRNA from 1 species
GAUGAACGCUGGCGGCGUGCCUAAUACAUGCAAGUCGAGCGAACAGACGAGGAGCUUGCUCCUCUGACGUUAGCGGCGGACGGGUGAGUAACACGUGGAUAACCUACCUAUAAGACUGGGAUAACUUCGGGAAACCGGAGCUAAUACCGGAUAAUAUAUUGAACCGCAUGGUUCAAUAGUGAAAGACGGUUUUGCUGUCACUUAUAGAUGGAUCCGCGCCGCAUUAGCUAGUUGGUAAGGUAACGGCUUACCAAGGCAACGAUGCGUAGCCGACCUGAGAGGGUGAUCGGCCACCCUGGAGCUGAGCCCCGGUCCAGGCUCCUACGGGAGGCAGCAGUAGGGAAUCUUCCGCAAUGGGCGAAAGCCUGACGGAGCAACGCCGCGUGAGUGAUGAAGGUCUUCGGAUCGUAAAACUCUGUUAUUAGGGAAGAACAAAUGUGUAAGUAACUAUGCACGUCUUGACGGUACCUAAUCAGAAAGCCACGGCUAACUACGUG